rnacentral:rRNA from 1 species
AUUGAACGCUGGCGGCAGGCCUAACACAUGCAAGUCGAGCGGAUGAAGGGAGCUUGCUCCUGGAUUCAGCGGCGGACGGGUGAGUAAUGUCUAGGAAUCUGCCUGGUAGUGGGGGAUAACGUCCGGAAACGGGCGCUAAUACCGCAUACGUCCUGAGGGAGAAAGUGGGGGAUCUUCGGACCUCACGCUAUCAGAUGAGCCUAGGUCGGAUUAGCUAGUUGGUGGGGUAAAGGCCUACCAAGGCGACGAUCCGUAACUGGUCUGAGAGGAUGAUCAGUCACACUGGAACUGAGACACGGUCCAGACUCCUACGGGAGGCAGCAGUGGGGAAUAUUGGACAAAGGGCGAAAGCCUGAUCCAGCCAUGCCGCGUGUGUGAAGAAGGUCUUCGGAUUGUAAAGCACUUUAAGUUGGGAGGAAGGGCAGUAAGUUAAUACCUUGCUGUUUUGACGUUACCAACAGAAUAAGCACCGGCUAACUUCGUG